UACGUAGGGAGCAAGCGUUAUCCGGAUUUAUUGGGCGUAAAGGGUGCGUAGGCGGUUUGUUAAGUAUGAAAUUAAAGCCUGAGGCUUAACCUCAGUUCGUUUCAUAAACUGGCAGACUAGAGUAUGGUAGAGGUAAACGGAAUUUCUAGUGUAGCGGUUGAAUGCGUAGAUAUUAGAAAGAACACCAGUGGCGAAGGCGGUUUACUGGACCAAAACUGACGCUGAGGCACGAAAGCGUGGGGAGCAAAUA
rnacentral:rRNA from 1 species